CUCCCUCUCUCUCUCUCUCGCUCCGUUUCUUUGUCUCACUGUCUCUUUUUCACCCUAUUUUGUUCUCUUUGUCCUUCUUUCUUUCACACACUUUACUUUCUCUCACACACACACACACACACACACACACACACACACACACACACACACACACACACACACACUGCUCUCCAUGUGGACAAAGCCUUCAUUCAGAGGAGGUUUUGGUCAAGCGGCUCGGCCUGCUGGUGAAACUGAGGAGCUGAUCCAGAUCUGACCGACUGAUUACAACAGUUUCAGGAUUUGUUUGGGUUUUUUUUAAGCAUGGCCUAAAUUAGGUGUUAAGUUGCCUGACUGUUUUUUCCGUGUUUGGCUGACUUGUUUUAAAACUGGUUUUUACGUCAUGAUGUUUGAGGGAUUCUUCUUCGUUUUGGUGUGACUCACCGAUCAUCCGUUUUUAAAUAUGACAUUUAAAUUGCAGGUUUAAGGUAAGAAUGGGCGGAGUCACUGAUCUAAUUAACGGUUCCACACAUGACUGAAUCAUGCUAAGGUUUAGGUGACCGCUCUCCCACCUGAUAAUCCUGUUUUUUUAGUUGGUUAGAUGUUAUCUUCCUCGUCACCCGAUCUGUGUUGACAGGUUUUCCGUUUGGCAGAUGUAUAUUUGGAAAAUCUUUAUCACUGUAUGAACAGUUUGUUUUUCUUUUACUAUCUUUUUAAUCCAAGAAAUUAAAAACUACUCUCUGACUGAAAGUCGUCUUUAUGCCGAUUUCAUUUUCAGAGAAGCGUUGGUUUCUAACAACGAGCACCAAACCCCAGGCCGUUUACACAUAUUGCCAAUUUCCAACCUUUAUCCCCAUUUUGGCUUUUACAAAGCCAAUAAAAGAUUAAAAUGGCAGUUUUCUGGCUUUAAACUGUUCCUAGGCAGAGUUUUCAAACACACGUGGAUGAUUUGUUGAGUUUACCGACUGAUUUCAAAACCAGCGGUGGAUUUUCUCCGUCCUUUCAUUUUUGGUUUGGCUGACUUUGAUGUCUGACUGGUUUAUAAGAUUUCACGGCGGCUCGUCUCCAUCUGGCAGACCAAUAUUCAGACUGACGUAGCUAAUUGUUAGAAUAAAACAGCUUCCUUUGUGCCUUGUUUACCAUCCCGGGGACCGGUUUGAGGCCUGACCGAAUCUUCAGAUGACCGACAACGCGCUGCUGGACUUACACACCUCCGGUGUGGAGCAGCGGACUCUCCCGCCCAUCGAAGGCAUUCUGGGGUCUGACUUCAGGCUGGGCUCCACUGAUGUCCCAAUUUUAGACUCAUUAUUAAAGAUGACCAGCCCCUCAGCUGUGCACCUGCCAAAAAGUCAUCCGAUGCGCAGUGGUGCAGGGACUGACAACCAGCAGGUCCCGGGUUUGAGUCCUCCAGCCAGCUGCGGUCGGGCUCCAGCUGCCCUGAAUGGAUGGAUUUGUUUUAUUUUAAUCAGAUCUGACCUCACUUGCUUUUGAUUUGUCAUUAAUGUAAUAAAGCACCUCUGGAAUUUGUUGUCAAGGCGAUAUAGAUAAAUGCAUGAGAAUCAUUAUUCCACUGUUGUCACACGUGGAUGCAUGAAGCAGCGUUUUGUCACGUUUGAUGAAUAAUUUGAAGUUUGGUUGUAUUUGGAUUUCACUCCCAGGUUUCCGGAUCACCUGAUGGGAUUUUUAAACCUGCUUUUUAACCGACGGCUGAUUUCGAGUAAAAUCAAGACAUUUUUGCUCAUGUUUAUUGUGUUGAGCUCCAGUCUGAGGUUAUUUUGGGUUUCCCGAGUUUUCAGCUUUAGUGACUGAUGAUUUUUUUGAUUGCCGUGUUUAUUUUCCCAACUUUUCUCCUCUCUGGUAACCGGAGCUCAGGUUCGACCGGCUGUUUUUCCGCUCUGGUUUCAAUCUAAC
ensembl:lncRNA